rnacentral:rRNA from 1 species
CGGGACGGGUGAGUAACGCGUGGGUAACCUGCCUCAUACAGGGGGAUAACAGUUGGAAACGACUGCUAAUACCGCAUAAGCGCACGGGAUUGCAUGAUCCAGUGUGAAAAACUCCGGUGGUAUGAGAUGGACCCGCGUCUGAUUAGCCAGUUGGCGGGGUAGCGGCCCACCAAAGCGACGAUCAGUAGCCGACCUGAGAGGGUGACCGGCCACAUUGGGACUGAGACACGGCCCAA